GCGCAGCAGGCGCGAAUACUUUACAAUGUGCGAAAGCACGAUAAGGGAACUCUGAGUGCCUCCUAAGGAGGCUGUUCAGGUGUCUAAAAGCACCUGAAGGAAGGGCUGGGUAAGACCGGUGCCAGCCGCCGCGGUAACACCGGCAGCCCAAGUGGUAGCCACGUUUAUUGGGUCUAAGCGUCCGUAGCCGGCUGGGUAAGUUCCUUGGGAAAUUUGGCUGCUUAACAGUCAAGCUUUCAGGGAAUACUGCCCGGCUUGGGACCGGGAGAGGUCAGAGGUACUCCAGGGGUAGGGUGAAAUCCAUUAAUCCUUGGGGGACCACCGGUAGCGAAGGCGUCUGACCAGACCGGGUCCGACGGUGAGGGACGAAGGCUAGGGGCGCGAACCGGAUUAGAUACCCCGGUAGU
rnacentral:rRNA from 1 species